ACCUGGCUGGCUCAGUUGGAAGAGCAUGUGACUUUUGAUCUCAGGGUCAUGAGUUUGAGCCUCACUUUGGGUA
rnacentral:tRNA from 1 species